rnacentral:rRNA from 1 species
ACGGGUGAGUAAUACAUCGGAACGUAUCCUGGAGUGGGGGAUAGCCCGGCGAAAGCCGGAUUAAUACCGCAUACGCUCUGAGGAGGAAAGCGGGGGACCUUCGGGCCUCGCGCUCAAGGGGCGGCCGAUGGCGGAUUAGGUAGUUGGUGGGGUAAAGGCCUACCAAGCCGACGAUCCGUAGCUGGUCUGAGAGGACGACCAGCCACACUGGGGCUGAGACACGGCCCAGACUCCUACGGGAGGCAGCAGUGGGGAAUUUUGGACAAUGGGGGCAACCCUGAUCCAGCAAUGCCGCGUGUGUGAAGAAGGCCUUCGGGUUGUAAAGCACUUUUGUCCGGAAAGAAAUCAUCGGGGCCAAUACCCCUGGUGGAUGACGGUACCGGAAGAAUAAGCACCGGCUAACUACGUGCCAGCAGCCGCGGUAAUACGUAGGGUGCGAGCGUUAAUCGGAAUUACUGGGCGUAAAGCGUGCGCAGGCGGUGCUGUAAGACCGAUGUGAAAUCCCCGGGCUUAACCUGGGAACUGCAUUGGUGACUGCAGCGCUGGAGUAUGGCAGAGGGGGGUGGAAUUCCACGU